UUUACUCAUAUAACUAGAUUGUUCUUUUUAUUCUCACACUCUAAAUCUAAGCAUCUUAAACGUGCAGUGUAACAGCAUAAACCGAUGCCUUUUGUAACAAAACAAAAAUGAUUAGACUGAUGCACAGAAACCUUCAUUCUUUCCAUAUAGUUUAAUGUAUUUCUAAAAAAGAGAUGUAUACCCUUAAUCAAAACAGUCCAUGAACAGCAAAGUGUGUAUUUAGAGUAAUUAUGUAUUGAACCUAAUUUAUAAACAGCAGUACUAUAGAGCUCCUUAGACACCUGCAGGUAAAAUAAAUAUCCCAGGAGUGAGGUUAUAGUCACCAGGAUUCUAAAGCAUUGCCUAUGAAAUGUUACAAUUCUAAAGUGCUUAAACUAUAGUAGUAAUUUGCUAAUCCACGCACCCUAAAUCUCAUGCUUUAUAAUCUGGACCAAAAAUUGUUGGGAUCUCUCAGCAAAGAUUUUGUGGCAGAUACUAGUGUGAUGACUCGGCACACUGUUCAGUUCUGGUCACUCUUUCC